rnacentral:rRNA from 1 species
UGGGGAAUCUUCCGCAAUGGACGAAAGUCUGACGGAGCAACGCCGCGUGUAUGAUGAAGGUCUUCGGAUUGUAAAGUACUGUCAUUGGGGAAGAACGGUUUUCUUGAAAAGAUUGAGAAGACAUGACGGUACCCAAGGAGGAAGCCCCGGCUAACUACGUGCCAGCAGCCGCGGUAAUACGUAGGGGGCAAGCGUUGUCCGGAAUUAUUGGGCGUAAAGGGCGCGUAGGCGGGCCUUUAAGUCCGGUGUGAAAGAUCAGGGCUCAACCCUGAGAGUGCAUCGGAAACUGGAGGCCUUGAGGACAGGAGAGGAAAGUGGAAUUCCACGUGUAGCGGUGAAAUGCGUAGAUAUGUGGAGGAACACCGGUGGCGAAGGCGACUUUCUGGACUGUAACUGACGCUGAGGCGCGAAAGCGUGGGGAGCAAACAGGAUUAGAUACCCUGGUAGUCCACGCCGUAAACGAUGAGUGCUAGGUGUAGAGGGUAUCGACCCCUUCUGUGCCGCAGUUAACACAAUAAGCACUCCCGCCUGGGGAGUACGGCCGCAAGGUUG